AAACAGCGAAGGGAAAACAAGCACAAGUUUCUCCUCUGCCUGUUUGCACCGACUGACUAUGUGCGAGAGUCAGCAGAUGAACUCUGGAAGACCUUAAAGUAAACAGAAAACGGAAAGAGAAACCAAAUUCCAAAGCAGCUCUCUAGGGAAGUCGGUGGAAGCGAAGGGAGAAGCCGCGGCAGUCCGGGGGCUCAGCCCGCCGCUGUCUCAGAACUGUCACUCACUGCACGUUAAUCUGAGCUCAGGAUUUAUUUCUCUGCCGUGACUUCCCAGCUCUGAAUAGAUAUCACUUUUAGAGACAGAAUGGGACCUGAAAAGACUCUCGAGCACUGAACAGAGUGGGAGAAGAUGACAGUUGCUGAUGCUGUGAUCGCUUCAUCUAUUUUUGCUGAUGUACUACUCAGUGCUACAAUUUAGUCCUACUAAUUGAUUCCUCCUACAAGAAAACAGCUGAUGAACACCCGUUUUAAAAAGAACUGAAUCCAUGGCAGUAAACAGAGCUUUUUGACAUCAGGUUUCAGGGGUUGCAAAAGGCUUCAGCUCUGUCUCUCAAAGGAAUGGGAGACAUGUGGAAACAGCCUCCAGGUCAAAUGGAGAGCUCUAUGCCAGCACACUGCUCUUUCAGAAGGUAUCACAAGUACCUGUGUCAGCUCUCCAUGCCCUGGAGACCCACCUAUCGUCUCUGCAAGUCUCUGCAGCUGCCACCACAGCUGAUGCAGUUAGGUCUCCUCUGAGCUCAACAGGCAGAAGCACAUCAGGUCUGAUCCUGCAGUCUGACACACACUUGAACAACAACAUCUUCCCACAUACAGGGGACCAGCACAGAUAAAAGGAGCAACCCAUCUCUCAUGCCCACAAAGAGCAAAAAGAAGGGCACUGUUCUUGCAAGAUUUUGCCUUGUCAAUGCCAGUGCUGAAAUGUAGAAGGAUGGAAGUUCCUGCAUUUGAUACGUCAUGAGAAGAUAAAUACAAUGCUGCCUUUCCUGUCUUGACAGUCUGUAGGGUGCUAAGUACCCUGUGGGGAGGCUUAGGAGGGGUUUUUGGUGUAAUUCAAAUACAUCCAGAUAAGGCAAGGUACAGUAAUGCCUCUUUCUGUUAUAUUUUAUUGUUGUCAUGCCCUGACAUGGUCUGGGAGAUGUCAUUUGUCCCACAUCAGCUGGACACCCUCCAUGGCAUCAGUGAUGGCUCUGCAGUGAUGUCUCAGGCUGACAGCAAUGACAUGGUUUGAGUCAGAGCAGAGAAAUCUGCCCUGGGUGCGUGGAUCCAACAUCUACAGAACCUUUAGUUCACUAACCAGCACCUGCCAGCUCUACAGCUAGCCAGGGAGCAGCCAACAGAUAUUCCUGACAUCAGUGUGAUGUGCUCAAGCAAAUGCAUUUCAGAGUACCUUAACAUCUUCUCAAAACAUGCAAUAGUGAGCCUAGCUACCCUAGGGGUCUGUGUAAUGAACUUUAUUUUUUUAGAGAGAAAUUAAAAGUGCUUGAUAUCAUGUCAUUAGGCUGGUCUGGCCAUGUCUACAUCAGAGUCAGGAAGAUCCCAAAGGUCCAGAAGUGGAAGUAGUGUUUGUGCAAACAGGCUGAACCUAGGGACUGAUCUGGCCCCACUACACUUUGGAGGUUACCAGCACAACACAGCAUUUGCUCAGCAUCAUGUGAUACUCUGAGAGCAACAUGAGUUUUCCAUUUCUCUUCACUACUAUCUCUAGGAUUUCUCAUAAACUGUGAGCAUCAUCCCUCCCAGUGACUUGUAAAUGUACAACAAAGAGUUCUGCACUGUCACAGCAAGAGUCACAUUAAAUACUUGGCAAUAUAACUGGAUUUAGUAAGUGCAAACAUGCACUUAUGCCGAGUCUAGCUAGGAACUACAGCCUUAAAGUGCUGUAGCUCAUCAGACACCUGGAAGGACAGGACAUUGAAAAAGCUUUACUAGUUUAUUUCUUGUAUAUAUUUCCUUUCAAGAGCAGUGGGUCAGUGUGCCAGUGCUACAUCAGCAAAGAAAACAAUAAAGUGCAGAAAAUGGUCCAAAAAGGAAAUCAGGGUAGUUUCAUACAACUGUAGCAGCAGAUAGUCCGACCUAAUUUAGAAGUUUACCCUACUUGGAGUCCAGAUACCUCUCUCUAAAUUUUUUUAGGAAAAAUGGUAAAUUAUUCAAAGGAUCUUUUUUAACCACACAGCCAAAAUUACAUUAGACGAUAUAAGACAUAUAUAAUAGCCAGCAAUUCUAAAGCAGUGACAUAAAAAUAUUAUGAUUGUCACAGUUGCCCAAUGAAAAUUUGGUCAAAUCAUCAGGUUUCACUUUAUUUAAGAACAUGGAUAUUUUCCAAGGUUUCCCUCAAAGACAUUAUAUAUUUACAAAAUCAUUGCAUGGAAGAGGACUACUGAUCCCAGUUUUGGCAAUGAGAACUCCAUCCCAUACUCCAGAUCAUUAAUAAGGACAUUGGAUGGUCUCCCACCAUCAGUCCCUGAGGAAUUCUUCAGGUAGAUUUUAUCCUACUGAUCACAACACCAGGAAUUCCAGACAAUUUUCCACCAACAUGCUCAUCCAUUAACCCAGCCCCUAUGCCCUCAGUGAUGAUGACAGGAUACUGUGGGUGUGUGUCAAAGGCCUUGUUAAACAACAUAAGGUGCUGUUCCUCACCUGCUGAAACAUCAUCCUAUGCCAGAAGUAGAUCAGGGUGGGCAUGGUUUUGGGACUUCAAUACUUUCUCCUCCCCAAAACCUUCUUGCCUUUCAUUGCAUUGCUUGGGAAUAGCUCCCAGGAGGAUCUCUAUAAUCUUCCUGUGGGAGUUAAAAACAGCUGUGAAUAUACUAAUGCCUUACUGAAGGAAUUUGGAGUAACUAUAGGAAUGCAAAAAGAAAAAAAAAAAAAAAAAAAAAAAAA
rnacentral:lncRNA from 1 species